rnacentral:rRNA from 1 species
AGUGAACGCUGGCGGUAGGCCUAACACAUGCAAGUCGAACGGCAGCACAGUAAGAGCUUGCUCUUACGGGUGGCGAGUGGCGGACGGGUGAGGAAUACAUCGGAAUCUACUUUUUCGUGGGGGAUAACGUAGGGAAACUUACGCUAAUACCGCAUACGACCUACGGGUGAAAUCAGGGGAUCUUCGGACCUUUCGCGAUUGAAUGAGCCGAUGUCGGAUUAGCUAGUUGGCGGGGUAAAGGCCCACCAAGGCGACGAUCCGUAGCUGGUCUGAGAGGAUGAUCAGCCACACUGGAACUGAGACACGGUCCAGACUACUACGGGAGGCAGCAGUGGGGAAUAUUGGACAAUGGGCGAAAGCCUGAUCCAGCAAUACCGCGUGGGUGAAGAAGGCCUUCGGGUUGUAAAGCCCUUUUGUUGGGAAAGAAAAGCAGCAGGUUAAUACCACGCUGUUCUGACGGUACCCAAAGAAUAAGCACCGGCUAACUUCGUG